rnacentral:rRNA from 1 species
MRKUCGCCCUUAGAGUUUGAUCCUGGCUCAGAACGAACGCUGGCGGCGUGCUUAACACAUGCAAGUCGAACGUGAUYCAGAGCUUGCUCUGRUGAAAGUGGCGCACGGGUGAGUAACGCGUGGAUAACCUGCCCUGGUAUCUGGGAUAACAUCUCGAAAGGGGUGCUAAUACCGGAUAAGCCYACGGGWUCUUCGGAWUCUGCRGGAAAAGRAGGCCUCUAUUUAUAAGCUWCCGUAUCAKGAUGGGUCCGCGUACCAUUAGCUAGUUGGUGGGGUAAUGGCCUACCAAGGCGACGAUGGUUAGCUGGUCUGAGAGGAUGAUCAGCCACACUGGAACUGAGACACGGUCCAGACUCCUACGGGAGGCAGCAGUGGGGAAUUUUGCGCAAUGGGGGAAACCCUGACGCAGCAACGCCGCGUGAGUGAUGAAGGCUUUCGGGUCGUAAAGCUCUGUCAGAGGGGAAGAAAUGAAACGUGCUAAUAUCACGUUUUCUUGACGGUACCCUCAAAGGAAGCACCGGCUAACUCCGUGCCAGCAGCCGCGGUAAUAC